CUGCAAACCCCCAGUGAGCAGCAAGUAGCACAAACAGCAUCAGCACAAGCCAGAGUUCAGCUUGAAAUGUCAAGGUAAUUUCCAGGGUUCUUUUCCAAGGCCUCUGCAAGGGGGAAAACAAGGUUUCAUGCACCCUGUAAAGUGAUGUCUUUCAGUGGAAAGGCUGUGACGUUCCAGUUUUAUUUAUUUAAUAAAAGCACAGACAGGACACCAACAGCAAGUACUGAAUUCUUGUUUUAGGGGGAUCAGGACAGCGUAAACUCUCAGUUAUUCCCCCAGAAGCACAAGGUUAUAAUGGUGGCAUUUUAAAAACUGUCCCUGGAGGAGGAAGAAACACAAUUUACAUAAUUCCUCUUCAGGACCAGCUAGAUGCAUCUCCUCUUCCAGCAGAUGCAUCUGAAUUUCAGAAGAUGCCAAAAGCAGCCUGUAUGGUCUGCAGAUCCAGCGUGCCGCUUCAAGUGUUGGCUGUACAUGUAAAAUCUUGUGUGGACCAGAAAUCUUCUGAAGAGGACAGAGAGUCUUCUCCUGAUGUAGCAUUUGUGGCUGAAGAC